UGGGGAAUUUUGGACAAUGGGCGAAAGCCUGAUCCAGCAAUGCCGCGUGCAGGAUGAAGGCCUUCGGGUUGUAAACCGCUUUUGUCAGGGAAGAAACGGUCUGGGCUAAUACCCCGGACUAAUGACGGUACCUGAAGAAUAAGCACCGGCUAACUACGUGCCAGCAGCCGCGGUAAUACGUAGGGUGCAAGCGUUAAUCGGAAUUACUGGGCGUAAAGCGUGCGCAGGCGGUUAUGCAAGACAGAUGUGAAAUCCCCGGGCUUAACCUGGGAACUGCAUUUGUGACUGCAUAGCUAGAGUACGGUAGAGGGAGGUGGAAUUCCGCGUGUAGCAGUGAAAUGCGUAGAUAUGCGGAGGAACACCGAUGGCGAAGGCAGCCUCCUGGGCCAGUACUGACGCUCAUGCACGAAAGCGUGGGGAGCAAACA
rnacentral:rRNA from 1 species